GCUUCGAAGUUCCACUAGAAAUUCAGACAAAUCAUAGAUUCUGGCCCUAUUUCAAGAAUUGUAUUGGCGCAAUUGAUGGAUCUCAUUUUCGAGUGAAAGUGG